rnacentral:rRNA from 1 species
UACGUAGGGGCAAGCGUUGUCCGGAAUCAUUGGGCGUAAAGAGCGUGUAGGCGGCCCGGUAAGUCCGCUGUGAAAGUCCAGGGCUCAACCCUGGGAUGCCGGUGGAUACUGUCGGGCUCGAGUCCGGAAGAGGAGUGUGGAAUUCCUGGUGUAGCGGUGAAAUGCGCAGAUAUCAGGAGGAACACCAAUGGCGAAGGCAGCACUCUGGGACGUGACUGACGCUGAGACGCGAAAGCGUGGGGAGCAAACAGG